UUCACAAUAUAAGUCAUUCUAGCAUUUCCCACAUUUAUAUUGAUGUUAAUGAAUCUAGGCAUAUCUAUCUAUCUAGAUUCAUUAACAUUAAUAUGAAUGUGGGAAAUGCUAGAAUGACUUACAUUGUGAA
rnacentral:misc_RNA from 1 species